AGGGAGCGCCAGAUCCUGAGCUGUGUUCCCAGGCACCCUGGGCUCUGGGACCUGUGCCGCUGGAAUCACACUCCCAGGGCUAUGCAGCCCCCU
rnacentral:pre_miRNA from 1 species